CAGUAGCCACGGUAAUACGAAGGGGGCUAGCGUUGCUCGGAAUUACUGGGCGUAAAGGGCGCGUAGGCGGACAGUUUAGUCGGGGGUGAAAGCCCUGGGCUCAACCUCGGAAUUGCCUUCGAUACUGGCUGUCUUGAGUGUGAGAGAGGUGUGUGGAACUCCGAGUGUAGAGGUGAAAUUUGUAGAUAUUCGGAAGAACACCAGUGGCGAAGGCGACACACUGGGUCACUACUGACGCUGAGGCGCGAAAGCGUGGGGAGCAAACAGGAUUAGAUACCCCAGUAGUCCCUGUCUCUUAUAC
rnacentral:rRNA from 1 species